GUGUGUUCUCUCUGCUGCUCUGUGUCCUGCUAUCUGGCAGAGCUGAGCAGUCUGUUGCAGAUACUUGUCAGGACAGAACUCUGGAAUUUUCAAAACACGGAGCAGCGUGCAGUGACAGAUUCCCCAAGGAUUUUCCUGCACAGGCAUGGAUGUAAGGUUCUGGGUUCUUCCAGAGGUGGCAGCAGGGAGAAGGACCAAGAAGAUGAGUCUUGAGAACAUACAGAGGAAAUGAAAAUCAUUUAAAAGAAGCAUGUUUAUGAAAAACAGUGCAGCUCAAAGUAAUUUAGAGCUCGAAAGCCGUCCAGCGGGGGUGGCUCCAAGGAUUCCUCGACACGUUCAUCAGAAGUAGCAAAGCUGUGGUGACCAAGUCCAGAGGCUCUUCUCCGUAGUAUUUUAAUUAAGCACAUUUUUCACUGAUAAAUUGCACACCCAUAGUCAUAACAUAACAAACUUCAAAAACAUAAAUCAUACUUCCUGUGCUGGAGUUAUUUGCUGUGCUGUAUCCCGAAUUCUUGCUUCACUACUCCCCUCUGUCCCUGUAUGGCAUAAAGUGGUUAGAAAAUGGAUUGAUUGAUUGCUUGAUUAAUAUAUUUAACAGCAUUAGGGUUAGGGCUACAGCCCAUAGUUAAUUACAAUUCUAUAUUCAGCAUUGCAGUAUUAUAUUUUUUAAUGUUAAGUCUGUUUUGUAAGGUGUCAGCAAUAUGCACGAACAAUAUUGAAAGGGUGACCAUUUAUCACAAGACUGCAGUUAUGUCCCCUGAGACCUCUAGUCUCUUCUGGGUUUUCUCUAGUUAAGCGUUCACCUACUUAAUUGGCCCAAUUAAUUGAUUUCCUGGCUGAAUUAAAUCCAGGCACCAGAAGGUUCUGUAAAGAGAACAGGACCUAAGGAUCUUCUAGUUUUCAUUCAACCUCUAUUCCUUUCAGUGGAACAAAUUAUUGAAUCAAGAAGUUAAGUCACCUAUUCGUUUACAUAUUAAUCUGCUGCUAUUCGCAAAUUACCUGUGUACCUAAAUCCAAGAUUAGAAAUCCACACAUAAAAGAUUGGAGUUGAGCAUUCAUGUUGUAUAAGAAGAUGAUAUUCCAAGAGAUACUGGAGAUAUUCUGUACCCAAAGAGUAGCAGGGGUAUGGACCAAGUUACCCUGCCAUAUUGCUGAAGCCAAUACCCCGCUUUCUUUCAAAACGUGGUUGAUAGGCUCUCUGGAUCAAUAAGCCACUAACUACCAAAUGUUUGUAACAUUUCUUUUGUUCUUAUGAGUUGUCCAUACAAUACCUACUUCACAAUGAGGUGGUGCUUUUUCAACAUUUGACACUACUGUAUGUCUUGCACCCUGACUACUAUCAAUUCCUGCAUUGUUUUAGUUAAAUUUAUAGACUGAAAUAGUUUAAUGUUUUUACAUUGAUACAUUAUGAGUUCAUUCAUACUCCAAACCACAUUUCUUACAGGUUACCUGUCAUACAGUAUGAAUAAUGCAGCAUACUUAGCUUUCCAAUAAUUUUAAAGGACGUGUUCAUAUCCCUGUCACAUUUCUUUCGGUCAAAGAAGCUUAUACACCAUUAUUAAGAUUUAAUGCAAAUAUGUGAACGCAAGGCAUCAGUUUUAGCAUCACUGCUUGUAUUUAAAUUCGUAGCUACCUCUGAGAUGUUUACUGAUGUUGCUAACACUGCGCCAAUAAAACAAUUAAGAUAUGGAGUGAAGGUAAUUACCUGAGAUCAGCAUUAGACAAAUGUGUUAUAUUGGUUUUAAUAAUGCCAAGUAAUGCUAAAAUUGUAAACAUCAUUAAAACCUAGCCCACGGUGUAUUUCCUUCUUCAUAAGAUGUUCUCCGACUCUUUUCAACUAAUCAGUAGUACAUACUGUAGUUGUCAUGGGUUCAUUUUCACAAUAGCACUGUAAUAAGAGAAUGCACACCUUUACACCUUGUUAAAAUAAAACAAAUGAAAAGUAACUCAAAAGCCAGAGUGCCUUUACAGCAAAAAUAAGACAACAGUAAGCAGGGUGAUUUCAAUCAUUCCAGUCAUGUAAGCUGAACCGUAGCUCAGGUACAGUAUGCCAUCGUCAGCUACAGUCAUGCCUCAAACUACUUCAGUUAACCUUGCGUUUGAUUUUCAGCAAUCAGAAUUUAUACCGGAGCCCAGUGAUCUUCCCUUCAAAUCCUUGAAGGGCAACAAACCACCAACCAGGUUUUAGAAGGAAGCUAAACCCACUCAAUGAUUAAAGACUUGGGCAUUUUGUAUUUGCAAUUAAGACCAAUUAAUUAAAUAAUUGAUUAAGAGAUCAGGUAGAAUGAGAAAUAUAAAGGCUGGGAGUCUAACCAAAUCUGGAUUAUACACCUUAAGGCUUUAAAGGGACAGCAUUUUAAAAAAAGUAAUUAUGUGUUUUAGAAAUAAUUAUUUUUCCCUUCUUUGUGGCCCUGGUAUGAGAUAUGAGUAAGGUGAAAGAUUACAUUUUAUGGGUGAUGUUAUGGCUAGUUUUAUUACAUGGAAGUUAGAUUUUAUGUCUUCUACAACUAAACCUUGAAAUACAGCAUUAAUUUAAAUUACUUGUGUUAAUCUCUUAGAGAUGAAUGCAAAAUAAGAUGAUUUAUUAAUAUUUAAAAUGCUGUAUUGCAGGGAUGGUGUUACACAAUUACUUGUAAGGGCAGCACACAAAACACAAACAGAACAAAGUUUUUUUAUGAUAAUUAUUAGUAAAAUAACUAUGUUAAUAAUAUUCCGUCUUUGCUAAUUUCAGUACUGAGAACUGAUCAGUAAA